rfam:Myotis lucifugus cont2.46297, whole genome shotgun sequence.
GGCAGUUCUUGGGUGACGUACCCCGGAAUUGGGCUCUCUCCUCUCUGGUUCCUGGGUGUGUCACCAGAGAACUAUA